AGCCAGCUCUCUUUUAUUUUCCUCCAUCCACCCACUCAUCCAUCCAUCCUCACACUUACUGAGUUCCCUACUAGUGUACAGGCCCCACGCUGGGCUUUGGGCCUACGGUGAUGAGUGACACGGACACACCUGCCCGGAAGAACUGACAGUCUAUCCGGGAAGACAACAAACAAGGGAACGGGUGGUUACCAAGCUCGGAGACACCCUAGGGAAUGAGACUGAGGAGAAGGUGCCCUUUGAUAAGGGAGAGUCGCGUCAAUGAGCUACAGGUGAGUUAGCAGAGCACCCCGGGAGGGUCUGGGCACAGAAGGCCUGAGCCCAGUUCUGAGGUGGGAAGGGCUGCGGAGGCCGGUGUGGAAGGAGCAGAGUGACGGCGUGGGGAGGAGCGUCCAGGGAUGACACCCAGCAGUGUGCGGGACCAGACGCACAGGGCCUGGAGGGAAGAGCAAGCGUGACAGGGGCCGGCGACGUCCUGUGCGGGCAGUGACGUGAGCUGACCUGCGCUCUGCGCCGCUCCCGCCCCUCCGCAGCCCGGCUGCACUUGGGGCUGCGCGCGUUCUAACCGCCUUCGAGGGCGGCGCUGGAAAGGGUGCUAACCGUCUUAGCAGAUGCUGUGAAACCCAGGAUCCCUGCCAAGAGCAGCAGCCAGAGAGCAAAGCCCCACAGGACAGGGAGCCCUGGUGCAGAGAUGAUCUGCUUGGUUCCAGUGAGGAUCCUGACCUAUGGUUCGAUGGCUCUGGAUGCAAGUGACUCUAAUCCUAGCAGCCGGGCCCGAUGCUGGGAGACCUGAAUUCUGAGCAUGGAGGGACUCGAAAGUCCACAACAGUUGGGACCCAGCCUCACCUUGGCCAAGCAGAAAACCUUCCUAGCUGUGUGACCUUGGACAACUUAAGUAAUUUCUCUGAAGUCAGGAUCUUUACGACAUUUAGGUCAGUUUGGAUAAGAUCGCCAGUGUACCAACGCUCAGGAGGAAAAAACCUCAAAACCUGUGCUCCGGGAUCGCUUAGCACCACGGACAGCGACACGAAGCUGGGUGAUCCCCAGCGACUCAGCAGUGGCCAACAUCCAGGUUUUCAGGGACCAUAUUUAAGCAGAAGUUGUGUGGCCACCUGUCAUAGCUGACACACUUAGAUGCCUACGUAUCCACUCAUUCCAUUCAUUUAUUCAUUCUACCAUAUGGAUCCAGAGUGGGGAUGAAAGAAAAGGAGGGAUGGAGAAUAUGACUAUUUGGUGACUUCUGAUUUUCACAAAGAAAAAAUCACUGAGUUUUAUGAGCUCCUCCUUUUUCCAUUCAUCCAUCAACUCCUUUUACCUGGCUCAGGCUAAGGAGGAUUAACAGCCCUCAUCCAAAAAUUGACCAUUCUUUUCUUUCUGCCCUUCACAGGGUUGUUUUGGGCAUGGCAGGCUCUGUGGUCCACAUGCUGAUAACAUGGAUGAAGAACAGAGAUUAGAGCAUGUCCUUAUGGACAUGUGUCCUGUCCAUAGCCAGAAAUGAGUUUGCUUUCUCUGACUAUGUGUGCUGAGGCAACCCCCACCACUUCUGGGAGGCAGAUGUCAACCAGCACAAAUAAAUUAGACCCCAAUGGUGCUUGCUUUACUGAAGCAUUCAGUUUAAUGAAUCUUUCUUUAACAUACACAAUUCUACUUACUCCAUCAGUAAAUGUGACCUGUUUGGUGUGAAUAAUUCAGUGUUUUGCAGGGGUUCUGACUUCUGUUGAGAAUGCAGUACUGUCAGAGAUUGUUAACUAAUUCUAUGGAGCAGAACUGAGCUUCAGUUCACCUCUGAGCUAGAGUACACUUGGGAAAGCAGUAAAAAGAGAAUAAAAAAGGAAAAUGUGUCCUCUCUCAAUAGAAACUACCCUCCCCCAAGCUCUGCCAUUACACACACACCAGUGUGCAGCUCUUCUUUCCUCAAAGCUUCAGGUCUCAUC
rnacentral:lncRNA from 1 species